AUGUGGCCACCAUGGAACAAAUCAACUUCCUCUUCUUUCUCAUGUUCCUCCUUCAAAGACAUUCAAACCCUCCUCAAAGAAGAACCCACCACCACAAAGGCUAAACCCUCCAUAUUCCACCGAGUCACACUCGCUAACAAGCUCCUCCGAGCCUGGUCAACUCAACCCAAACUCACUUAUCCCCCAUCCCCAUCCUCACAAAACGAUCCACGCGCCGCGCAACCGCAUCCUGGUGCACUAAACCCCGUUUCCUAG